rnacentral:rRNA from 1 species
AGCGAACGCUGGCGGCAGGCUUAACACAUGCAAGUCGAACGCCCCGCAAGGGGAGUGGCAGACGGGUGAGUAACACGUGGGAACGUACCCUUUGGUUCGGAAUAACUUGGGGAAACUCAAGCUAAUACCGGAUAAGCCCUUAUGGGGAAAGGUUUACUGCCGAAGGAUCGGCCCGCGUCUGAUUAGCUAGUUGGUGAGGUAAUGGCUCACCAAGGCGACGAUCAGUAGCUGGUCUGAGAGGAUGAUCAGCCACACUGGGACUGAGACACGGCCCAGACUCCUACGGGAGGCAGCAGUGGGGAGUAUUGGACAAUGGGGGCAACCCUGAUCCAGCCAUGCCGCGUGAGUGAUGAAGGCCUUAGGGUUGCAAAGCUCUUUUACCCGGGACGAUAAUGACUGUACCGGGAGAAUAAGCCCCGGCUAACUACGUGCCAGCCGCCGCAGUAA